rnacentral:lncRNA from 1 species
GUUAUAGCCAUUUAGGACGUGCAGUUGUUGUAUAACAGUCGUUUGAUUGAGUUGAUUUGAGUGUUUUUGUGAAAAUGGACUAAAUCCAAUCAAAUACCUUUAGUCAGUCCUUUAAGACGUUGAUCCCUAUCCUUCAUCGAAAACUAAUUUGACAUGCUACACCUAUGAGUAUUUAGAAGAAUGGAAUAAUAACAGAUGGAGUAGUGAAUUGUGAAUAGAUUGACCUGCUACGUUAAUUCAGGCACUUUACUUACCUAGUUAGGCAUGAUUGUUAUAUUUACGAAACACUUGCUAACAAUCUAAAAAGAAAAAAAGUAUUAAAUUCAAAUAACUAGUUAUCAUUACUGAACAAAGUUAAUACAAAGGUACUUGGUAAAGUGAGACUGCUCCUUGGGAAAGACAAAAGAGGAUAACAGAAGGUUAGCUUUUGGAAAUAGUUAUCGAAAAAGUUCAGAUGUAAAGGAAUGGAUUAAAAAUUUCAAUGAAUGAUCUGUAGAUGGAGGAUGAAAACUCUCUUUCUGUGUCAGUCGAUUAUUCUGUCUUUUAAAUGGGAA